UACGGAGGAUGCGAGCGUUAUCCGGAUUUAUUGGGUUUAAAGGGUGCGUAGGCGGAUUCUUAAGUCAGCGGUAAAAUGUCCGGGCUCAACCCGGGCCGGCCGUUGAAACUGGGGAUCUUGAGUGGGCGAGAAGUAUGCGGAAUGCGUGGUGUAGCGGUGAAAUGCAUAGAUAUCACGCAGAACUCCGAUUGCGAAGGCAGCGUACCGGCGCCCAACUGACGCUGAAGCACGAAGGCGUGGGUAUCGAACAGG
rnacentral:rRNA from 1 species